CCUUAAUUACAUAACGUCUAGCUUAGUUGACAUUGUUUUUGGCAAAUAUUGGACAAUUAACGAGUACAGGAAUUAAAAUUCGAAAGACCUUCAUGAUUUCAUGUCUUAUGCUUAAAAAAUAUUACAUUUGAUAAGAUAAUCACAAAAUAAACAGAUCAAGUAACCUUUCUAGCUGCCUCAGUUGAGUUGAACCCUUCCACAAGUCCUGAAAACAACAACAAAUAUAUUUGUGGUGGAUAAAUGUUAGAUAAAGUAAAUGGAUUACUUGGUUUCAUUCACUCUGGAAUCUCCUAAAGCUCAGUGACCGAAAUUAAACUCCCUAUCAAAUAUAUCCGUGGCUAAAUAAAACUAAGUAUGCUACUGUGAUAAAUGUUAGAUAAAAUAAAUGGAUUAUAACGCUAAUCACUUUCGCCUUCCGAUUCAGAAACCUUGAGAUUACUGAAAUCAUGUACUAAUAAAUUUCCUUCUUCAAUGUCUACCAGAGCUGCAUUUAAUAAGAAAAAAUAAUAUUAAUAUUCUAUGAUAAAAUAUGUAGUGUACAACAAUACAAAAAAGCAAUAAAGAAAACAACUCACGAGAAAUCCCGUCUAACCAAGAACCAGUACAAAUUUGAGCUUCAGCAUUCUCCUGAAGAAGACAAUUUCGAUACUAGUCAAGCACACGACCCACAAUGCUGAAAGUCGAUUCAGAGGCCACCAAAGUAAUAGGAAUACUUAAUAUAUCUCGAGCCAUCAUCGACAACUGAGGACGCUUCUCGCAUUCGCCUUUUCAAUACUCGAGAACAUUCCAGUGAUCAUUUUUCUUCCAACUGACUAAUUUUUCAUCUAGAUAUUCUUCUAAUUGAGACUUGGACCCACUGACUGAAUAUAGUUGACUUUCACUCUGUUCAAACUGAAUCAUCUCAUCAUUAGGAACAUCUCCAAAGUUCUCUUCACCACUGCUCUCAGUUACAGAUAUACCUAGAGAUGCUCGCUCAUAUUCUUUGUAUAGCCCCAGUUAUAUUUGGCUGCACCUAAAUAUCCUUAAGUUUCUGAAAGUUGCAUCUUACCCUCGGUUAUGCAACCAAGAAAAUUUCCCUCUGAAAAUUCUCAUGUUUGCAAAACUAAGAAUACUACAGUGCAACUUUUAGAAACUUUAAGUAACUUAAAUGCGGCCAGAGAUAUUCAAAUUAGGUGAAACUAUAGGGUAUUGAAGCCGAUUCGAAGGAUAUACACUAUUUUUCUUGGGGAUAUACACAGUACAUAGUUCCAAAGCUGACAACUCAGACUCAAGGUGUCAAAAAUCUCUUUUCAUUUGCCAAUGUUAAUUUUAGGGGGUUUUCUGAUAAAAUUUCAAAGGAGGGGUGUGUAAUAAAAAUCUUAAGGGGCUUUUUAAUAAGCCCUAUAUUUAAGGGGAUUUUCUAAUAUUUUGGAAGUUGAGGGAGGUUUUUCGAUAAUCGUCCAAAGUUAAGGCGGUUUUUCUGAUAUUUACCCUUUCUUAAACUUGACUCUGUGUCUCAUGUGAAGAGAUUUUUCUUUUGUAAAUUGGUUAAAGAUCUUUUCGACAAAGAAUUAAAGACACAAUCCUAACAAUCUCCACAUUAGAUUUGAUUACCAAACUCCCUUGAAGAUAUAUCAUCGUUGUCUUGAAACUUUACCUCUCCCACUGGUCUUAUAUUCCUUUUCGCACUACAAAUCAAAGCACAUGCACUCCUAAUCAGAACACCUGCACUCCAAUUGAAUGCCCGUAUGAACCUCCGCUGUGGUGCCUUCACCUCUCUUGUCCGCAACAAAAGAUCUUCGCCACCUCUGACAUUAGAAGUAAAUCAAACCAUACUUCUCUCAGUCUGAAUCAUGACAGUAGCCUUCCUUAAUUGCUGUCCUCGUACUCCACCUGCAUCGCUCGUUUCGAAUCAUAUUUGUGCACCUUUUCUACUCCACACUACGAGCCGGAUGCCUCUAUCUCCUCCAUCACUUGUCUUGGACUGAAUAUGAGCAUUCAUCGUCUUUAAGUUCAAUGCCACCAUCUUCCUCUCCGUGUGUGUCACUCGUUCGUGCCUGCUUGCAAGCUCCACCUAAUCUAGCACUGUCCUCGAGUCUACACAUCAACCAAUUCCUGUUCCCACGAUGACUCUGAAUAAUUAUAUGUUGACAACUCUACUUUUAGAAUCACAUCUGAUUUUUUACACCAGUCUCAUCCGUCGCAUACUCGUUUAUCCUAUCUGCCAUCAGAUCUCUCUCGUCAUCACCAUCAGAACUUUUCAGCACUUUCUGACCAAUCUGAACAAAAUCUGAAAAAUCAAACAUUCCCAUCGUGUUUAGAACACUCUAAAACUUAGGAAUCAACUUCUAGAUCGUCAAAAUCUUCCUCCAAACCCUCGAUCAGAAGACAAAUUAAUCUUCUUUUUUUCUUUUUCUUCAUCUUGAUUCUUGUAACGCUGAUCUUCAAUCUUGCACGACAUCGCUUUCUAUCUUACGAACUCGCUCCCGGAUCCAUCAACAUAGCUCUAAUAUCACUUGUUGAGAAAUUUAUUCUCCCCAUCUACUGUAAUCUGCGCAAUUCGGAAGUCAACCACAAUCAACAAGAUAUAAAACAACCACAAUUAAGAAAAAAGAAUAUCGAGAUUUACGUGGUUCGGUCGACCAACUUCGACCUACGUCCACAAGGUAACAAUACGAGAAACUCACUAUGUAUCAGGGAGAACUACAAGUGCAACCACCCCACUCUCGUAUCUCAAUCUCUCAACAUCACAUAUAUAAUGAACUCUCAUAUUAUCUCUAAAGCCCUCUCAUUACAAUCUUUUGAACGGACAAUGACUGCGAAAUCCUCUCCUAAUGAUGUAAUCUUUUGCAUGGAUAAAGACUACAAAACUCUCGCCUAUCGUACAAAAUUCUUGAAUCAGGCUACAUCCUCUGCUAACCCUAGAUUACAAGAAUAUUGACUCUCUCUUCUCUAUUUGGUUUUUCCUCCAACAAUAGAAGAAUAUAUAUUGGAAAACCAAAACCCUAUCUCUAGCCUAACUUCCUAAUUAGAAUAGGAUUCAAACACCUAAUUAUGAUGAGACUCAUUCUCCUAAUUAGAAUAGGAUUCAAACACCUAAUUAUGAUGAGACUCAUUCUCCUAAGCAUGAUAGAUCUUUAAUCCUAUUUAAUUCUUAUGGAGUUAUACAAAGAAUCAAAGGCACAAUCCUAACAAUAGUUUCUCUAUUAUGCAAUACUCCAGGAGUAAAUAUUUAAUUUUAAUCUGUGUUAGUUCUAUUUUUUCCCUCCAGGUUACAUAAUAUCUAUGGAUGUAUGCAUUAGAGUCAAACAUAUCAUUCUCUCACCGAGUCAUCAUUUGAUGUUUAAUUCAUCAUACAAAUUGAUGAAGCUGGACUAUAGUGGAAACUGGGCGAAUUUGAGACUUGAUGUUUAUAUGGUUUUUUACUUCUACUAGCACAUAACCAGGCAAAAAGUAUUCAAUUAUAUAAUUAGUCUUACAUUUUUAUAAAAUAGUUUGAUGAUGAUUUGAUUUAUGCAAAUUUAUUAUGGUACUCAACAUAGAAUUAUUUAGCAAUUAAAUCUAUCAUUAACACAAUUUUGUUGAGUAGUUUCCUAAUUGAGGUUAAUAUAACUAAAAUAAGUGAUUAAAAGAAAAAGGAAAAACUGAGAAUAUGGCAACUUAUUUUAUGUGUGUAUUGUCAUUUCAUGAUUUAGAAUUUUCUAUAAAUAAGAAAGGAAUAAAGGAGAAAAGAAAGAAAAUAAAUGUUUUUCUUAAAAAAUUAUAAUUUUAGUUAUAUGUGACUCCAAAUUAUAUUCUCAUGUCAUGAUUUAGAAUCUUCUAGAAAAGAAAAAAUAAAAAGAAAAGAAAGGAAAAGAAAAAAAAAUUCUCUUGCAGAAUUACUGUUUUACCCUCCGAAUAACAAUAGAAUAGAGGAAUAUGUCCACCAAUAUUUUAAUUUUUACUACCCUCACUAUGUUCAUUAUAGACUAGUAUAGACUAGUAUGGACUAUAGUUUUCUUAUAUGGUAUGACUAUUUUAACUUGGUAGAUGGCACUGUAAUUCCAGUAUUGCUGAUUGGAUCUCUAGGGUCACAUAUUGAACAAUAAGUUUCUUGACAGACUGGGGUUUUAAUGGUGAUUUUUAAGAAUUUCAACAAUCUUCUUUCAAACUCUUAAUCCAUUUUGAUUUGUUAAUUGUUAGUUGUUAGUUCGGCUAGAAUGUAACUUGCUUUUAUUUACCCCUUUUUUUCUUUAAAUAUGUCGUGGGGGGAGGAGGAGGAGAAGAAGAAGUAGAGUUCGGAGAGAGGUUGAGUUUUCUGAUACAGGUACUAUCUAUGUAUUUUCACCUCCUUUUUUUUAAUUUUAUUUGUUGAUAAUGUAUUUUCACCUCCUAAUAACCGCUUGAAUACCUGCACAGUUGACAUUUAUGUUUUUUUCCUUUUUUGUUUUUCGUUUUGAGAGUAUAAUGUGGUGGCGGCAAUACAAAGAACAAUUUCUUUUGUCGGACUUUUUCAAUGAACUUUUCCUUUCCAGUUUCAUUUAGGGGAUACUUGUAUCUUCCAUUUGUGGCUACCUUUAGGUUUUUAUGCAUGUUGGUUAAUACUCCAGUUGUUUGUAGGAGUUAUCUACUGUUUUCUCAAAAAGUAGACUAUUGAAGAAAGGGUAAAGAUUUCCACCAUACACUUGUUCUGUACAUACCUCAUGUGGCAUUAGAUUCUUGUUCAUCACUCUAAUCUUAGGUUCCCUCAGGUACUGAAUGGUUCAAGAGACAAGUAGAUGUCAAAACUUGAGGGAAUGCUACCGAGUAAAUGUGCUAUAUACUGUUUCCCAUAAUAUUGUGUCAUAUUUAUACAUCUGACUUAAACGAACACUAUGCUUAAUUUCUCUACUGCCUUUACGCUCUACUUCCAUUUGCCAUCAUUGUGGCAUAUUUAUACUUCCAUUUGCCAUAAUAUUGUGUCAUAUUUAUACUGUUUCCCAUAAUAUUGUGUCAUAUUUAUACUUCCAUUUGCCGUUAUUGACUAAUAAGCAUGAGUUUAUUUAAUGACAUAUCCUGGAGAAAAUAUUUAAUGUUCUACCACAGGGAAGAAGUGCAAGAGACUCCUACUUUGUGGCGGUGAUUAUAUGCAAAUUAAGUUGUUUAUCUUAAAAAAUCUAUUUAAUCAAGAAACAUCAAAUACUCUCUUUUAUCUGUCAUUACAAAUUUUUGCAGUCUAUUUCCUUUGGCAACUGAUAUAAGCCAUUUCUUUGGUAAGUAUUCCAUAAUAUAUUAAAACAUAAAAGGGAAACAAACACACCCUCUUCUUAGCAAGAAAGUUAACCUAAAUAUAGGACAAUUGGAAGAUGAUCAGAUACCAAUUUGGGUGCUCAAGGGACAAAUUUUAUACCUCUAUAAAUUUUAUUUGGUUUGUUUUAAUCAAGCAUGUCACUUUCAAGCUGUUAUGAAGGAGACAAGCUUGAUGAUCUCUUAAAAACAGGAGCAUAGAGUUAGCAAAAGCUUCAAAAGGGGAGCAACUGCCAGAUAAAAUUUGGAUGAAGCAACAAUUAGUGAUCAUAGACAAUGAUGUCACCAAGGUGCUCGAGAGAAAGAGAAAAUUUUGCAGAUAAUGAUAGCAUUAAAAGACCACUUAGAAAAGCUCCAUUGGUUCCUCCUCAGGAUCAGAAAAUUUUCCAAGAAUAAGCACACGUGAUGAUUAUAUAUCUUAGUACAAAAGUAAUGUAUUUAAGCCCUUAAAUGGUAGAAGUAAUAGGAAAUCUAUGUAUUUAUGUCCUAAAAAAAAUUAAACGAUGCAUUUUGUAUUCUCUAUAUUAAUAAAAUCCCAUACAAUUAUAUGAGAAUAUUACAUACACUAGGACCUUAUCUUUCUUGUCAGUAAUUUCAUGUAGAUUAUAUAUUAAUAAAGGUUUCAUGGUCUUAAUCAUACUGGCCUGAAUGUAGUUUAUACCAGGCUAUUACCAGUUAAACAAUUCUUCAAGCUGAGAAUUUCUAGAAAGAAAAUUUCUCAACUUGUAGAGAUUGUAUGCUCUGACUUUUAUAGUUAUGCAUCAGUUUGAUUUCAUGAUGACAUUUCUAAUGGUCUAUCCAAUAGUUUAUAUCUAACAUGAUCGGAUAAUUGGAGCUAUCUUGU